UUAUUGUUCUUCUUGGUCACGCUGGUGCCAUUGAUUGAAUUCGUUUAACAAUUCAUUGAUUCGAUCUAAAAACGAAUCAUCGAUAUUAGCAGGCGUCUGACUAUUUUCAAAUCCCUGAGUGUUAGUGUUUUGUUGUGUUCCCAAUCUAAAAUCCCCGAAGCUUGUCCAUCCUUCAUGCUCACCUGCAUUGUCGUGCUCAUCCCUACACUGUUGCUGUUGGGACUCGAUAUGUGAAUAAUAUGGUUGGGAUAGGGUGGCCUCAGAAUCAUCAUCUC
rnacentral:lncRNA from 1 species